UACGUAGGGAGCAAGCGUUGUCCGGAAUCAUUGGGCGUAAAGCGCGCGUAGGUGGCUUCGUAAGUCCGUUGUGAAAGUCAAAGGCUCAACCUUUGAAAGCCGGUGGAUACUGUGGGGCUAGAGUCCGGAAGAGGCGAGUGGAAUUCCUGGUGUAGCGGUGGAAUGCGCAGAUAUCAGGAGGAACACCAAUAGCGAAGGCAGCUCGCUGGGACGGUACUGACGCUAAGGCGCGAAAGCGUGGGGAGCGAACAGG
rnacentral:rRNA from 1 species